GCAAAACACUACAUCUUAAAUGACAUGGGCUCAGAAAUAUUUAUCGUAGCCCAAAUGAAGCCCAGUAAAAAAAAUCACUCUCCGACCAAACCUAAAACUGAUCGACAGAAUCCGCAGCUAGCCGCAUUGUAACCUAACCACCAACCUUCCGACUUGAGAAAGACGGGUCUUCGCUAGAGAACAUACUAAGGAGAUGAGUCAGAGUUGUGUUCGGAUGGAGGAGCUGGAUUUCUUCAAGAAUCCCAACGAGUUUCCACCAAGACGUGGUGGCUAUGGCCUGGCACAUGUGGAUUGUGUUGGAAGGCGUGCAUACACUAAUGAUGCCUUGGUGAAGCUCUAUGCCAAGCUCGGCCUUCAUCGCUACAAUUGGUUAGAGGGGACAAACUUUGAGCUAGAUAGCUUAAUGCAAUUCAACAUGCGUAGUGCUGCAUCUCCUUACUACAUGACCUUAGUUGCGCGCCUUCCAUCUAGCGGUUUGCAGCAAAUCUUUCAGGUUCUCGUAGAGGAAGAACGUCUUGGCAUUUUAGAUUUGACAUGCCCCAUCUCUAGACCUCAAGGGACCGAGACUUCAAAGAAAGAGUCAACUCCUUUCUUACGUCCACAUUCCGAGCCAGUGUCUACAAACUACCAAGACAGAUUGCUUGGCUGGACCAGGAACAAGUCAGCAAUUCCAUGGCCCUCCGCUUUCAGUGACACAAAGCAGCGUUUUUACAUGUUGAAUGAAUCUGAGUUGCAAUGUGAUUGGAUAUCGUUGUAUGUGAAACUUGCAAUCUGUACUUCCCAUAGGAAAACCACAGCUGAGGAACUCAACAACUUUGAGCUGGAGAUUGUCCAAGUGGCCAUAGAAUCUCUAGAUGAUAAGGAGCCCCCAAGUCUCAAGUCUAAAGCCGCUGUCAUCUACGUAGCAUACAAGAACUUGGCCAAGGCUAGAACUGGUGAGCAUUAUCACUACCAAGCUGUGGUGAGACGAGUCAUCGACCAGACUAUGGGAACAUUGAGCAUCCAAGGUGAUUGCUGGAUUGCAGAAGCAGCAGCAAUGGCUUCGGCGGCUGAAAGCUUAAUCUUAGGGGUCGCUUAGGACCUCAUAAGCUAUGGAGGUUGUCUAGUCCUAGGUGGUAUCAGACGUACAAGAACCGUGGCCUCCGCUCUUCCCCUAUUUAGUAAUUUAAAGACAUUUGAAAGAUGCGUAGUAACUCUUAUGUAUUGUGCUUUUGGUCUCUCGUGUUUAACUACUAUUACUUAUUAGCGAUGACUGCUUUUUGGUCUCUAUUUUAUGCUUUUGGUCUC